UGCAUGUGUGUGCGUGCAUGUGUGCUUGCGCGCAAGCAUGUGUGUGUGUGUGUGUGUGUGCAUGUGCAUGUGUGUGUGAA
rnacentral:pre_miRNA from 1 species